rnacentral:rRNA from 1 species
ACGGGGUGCAGCAGGCGCGAAACCUCUACAAUGCACGAAAGUGUGAUAGGGGGAUUCCACGUGCAAGCUUUGCUUGCUUUUCCCAAGUCCAAAACGCUUGGGGAAUAAGGGCUGGGCAAGACCCGUGCCAGCCGCCGCGGUAACACGGGCAGCUCAAGUGGCGUUCGCGUAUAUUGGGCCUAAAGCGUGCGUAGCCUGUCAGGUAAGUUCUUGGUGAAAGCUUGCGACUCAAUCGUGAGAAUGGCCAGGAAAACUGCCCGACUUGGGACCGGAAGAGGUCGGAGGUAUUUCUUGGGUAGGGGUAAAAUCCUGUAAUCCUUGAAGGACCAUCGGUGGCGAAGGCGUCCGACUGGGACGGGUCCGACGGUGAGGCACGAAAGCUAGGGGAGCGACCCGGAUUAGAUACCCGGUUAGUCCCAGCCGUAAAUGAUGUCUGUUUGGUAUUGCGUGGCUCACGAGGCCCCGCAGUGCCGUAGGGAAGCCGUUAAACAGACCGCCUGGGGAGUACGGCCGCAAGGCUGAAACUUAAAGGAAUUGGCGGGGGAGUACUACAAGGGGUGGAGGCUGCGGUUUAAUUGGAUACAACGCCGGACAACUCACCAGG